AUGAACGCUGGCGGCGUGCCUAAUACCUGCAAGUCGCGCGCACAGACGAGGAGCUUGCUCCUCUGACGUUAGCGGCGGACGGGUGAGUAACACGUGGAUAACCUACCUAUAAGACUGGGAUAACUUCGGGAAACCGGAGCUAAUACCGGAUAAUAUAUUGAACCGCAUGGUUCAAUAGUGAAAGACGGUUUUGCUGUCACUUAUAGAUGGAUCCGCGCCGCAUUAGCUAGUUGGUAAGGUAACGGCUUACCAAGGCAACGAUGCGUAGCCGACCUGAGAGGGUGAUCGGCCACACUGGAACUGAGACACGGUCCAGACUCCUACGGGAGGCAGCAGUAGGGAAUCUUCCGCAAUGGGCGAAAGCCUGACGGAGCAACGCCGCGUGAGUGAUGAAGGUCUUCGGAUCGUAAAACUCUGUUAUUAGGGAAGAACAAAUGUGUAAGUAACGAUGCACGUCUUGACGGUACCUAAUCAGAAAGCCACGGCGAACUACGU
rnacentral:rRNA from 1 species